rnacentral:misc_RNA from 1 species
GAUGAAGAACGCAGCGAAAUGCGAUAAGUAAUGCGAAUUGCAGAAUUCAGUGAGUCAUCGAAUCUUUGAACGCACAUUGCGCCCCCUGGCAUUCCGGGGGGCAUGCCUGUCCGAGCGUCAUUUCUGCCCUCAAGCACGGCUUGUGUGUUGGGUGUGGUCCCCCCGGGGACCUGCCCGAAAGGCAGCGGCGACGUCCGUCUGGUCCUCGAGCGUAUGGGGCUCUGUCACUCGCUCGGGAAGGACCUGCGGGGGUUGGUCACCACUAUAUUUUACCACGGUUGACCUCGGAUCAGGUAGGAGUUACCCGCUGAACUUAAGCAUAUCAAUAAGCGGAGGA